CCUACGGGGGGCAGCAGUGAGGAAUAUUGGUCAAUGGACGGAAGUCUGAACCAGCCAUGCCGCGUGCAGGAAGACGGCUCUAUGAGUUGUAAACUGCUGUUGUACAAGGGUAAACCUGAAUACGUGUAUGCAGCUGAAAGUACGGUACGAAUAAGGAUCGGCUAACUCCGUGCCAGCAGCCGCGGUAAUACGGAGGAUCCAAGCGUUAUCCGGAUUUAUUGGGUUUAAAGGGUGCGUAGGCGGCUUGAUAAGUUAGAGGUUAAAGGUCCGGGCUUAACUCGGGAACUGCCUCUCAUACUGUUGAUCUAGAGCGUACAUGCGGUAGGCGGAAUGUCUGGUGUAGCGGUGAACUGCUU
rnacentral:rRNA from 1 species